rnacentral:misc_RNA from 1 species
GAUGAAGAACGUAGUGAAAUGCGAUAAGUAAUGUGAAUUGCAGAAUUCAGUGAAUCAUCGAAUCUUUGAACGCACAUUGCGCCCGCCAGUAUUCUGGCGGGCAUGCCUGUUCGAGCGUCAUUACAACCCUCAGGCCCCCGGGCCUGGCGUUGGGGAUCGGCAGAAGCCCCCUGUGGGCACACGCCGUCCCUCAAAUACAGUGGCGGUCCCGCCGCAGCUUCCAUUGCGUAGUAGCUAACACCUCGCAACUGGAGAGCGGCGCGGCCAUGCCGUAAAACACCCAACUUCUGAAUGUUGACCUCGAAUCAGGUAGGAAUACCCGCUGAACUUAAGCAUAUCAAAAGCGGAGGA